rnacentral:rRNA from 1 species
AGUGUAGGCGGCUACGUAAGUCGGAUGUGAAAGCCCUGGGCUUAACCUGGGAAUUGCAUUCGAAACUGCGUGGCUAGAGUUUGAUAGAGGUAAGUGGAAUUCCGGGUGUAGCGGUGAAAUGCGUAGAUAUCCGGAGGAACAUCAGUGGCGAAGGCGGCUUACUGGAUCAAAACUGACGCUGAUGCUCGAAAGCGUGGGGAGCAAACAGGAUUAGAUACCCUGGUAGUCC